UCCCUGGUGGUCCAGUGGUUAAGACUCUGCACUUCCAAUGCAGAGGGUACAGGUUUGAUCUCUGGGUAGGGAA
rfam:TPA: Bos taurus chromosome 3, whole genome shotgun sequence.